UAUGCACGCUGGCGGCGUGCCUAAUACAUGCAAGUCGAGCGAACAGACGAGGAGCUUGCUCCUCUGACGUUAGCGGCGGACGGGUGAGUAACACGUGGAUAACCUACCUAUAAGACUGGGAUAACUUCGGGAAACCGGAGCUAAUACCGGAUAAUAUAUUGAACCGCAUGGUUCAAUAGUGAAAGACGGUUUUGCUGUCACUUAUAGAUGGAUCCGCGCCGCAUUAGCUAGUUGGUAAGGUAACGGCUUACCAAGGCAACGAUGCGUAGCCGACCUGAGAGGGUGAUCGGCCACACUGUAACUGAGACACGGUCCAGACUCCUACGGGAGGAAGCAGUAGGGAAUCUUCCGCAAUGGGCGAAAGCCUGACGGAGCAACGCCGCGUGAGUGAUGAAGGUCUUCGGAUCGUAAAACUCUGUUAUUAGGGAAGAACAAAUGUGUAAGUAACUAUGCACGUCUUGACGGUACCUAAUCAGAAAGCCACGGCUAACUACGUG
rnacentral:rRNA from 1 species